CGUUUGGCAGCAAACAGUAAAAUCUUCCUCCCACUUUUCACCUCAACCGUUGGAUGUAGUUAAAACUUUUCUCACUCGUUUGGCUGUGAAAGAGUCCAUGGAGUGUGGGACCUCCUACGUGCAGGACCCAGCGGUGAGAGGCAGACAUGCUAGCUCGUUCGGUCGCCUGGUCGCCUAUCCACCAGAGGUGAGAGAAUCUAGAUCGAACGAGGUCCUCAAUCCUGGCCUCGCUCCCCAAUCCCCACCUCCUCCUCUCCUCUCCAAUGGCAGCCUCCUCUCCUCCCCCAUUUUUGUUUCUCCUCUCUCCCCCUCGACUGGAUGCGGGCAGCCGGUCGCGGGCGUCGCCGUGCGAAGAGCAGGUGGAGCCGCAUCCGCCGUCGCCUUGGGUCGCUGCCGCCGUCGCGCCUCCUCCACCAACAAGUCACGAAUCCGUGACAGGACGGGCAGGAUCUCGUCGUGCUGGUCCUCCUCCGCGUUGGUGAUGUGCUGCUCCCUCCUCGUGGUUGAGAGGGUGCUGCCGCUCGCCAGUAACAGGGGAGGCCAAGGAGGGGCUAUCUAGAGAGAAAGACGUGGCUGGGGAUCUACAGAGUGACCUAGCAGUUCCUCUCGGUUAGGGUUUUUAGAUUCUGCUGUGCACUUCCAGUGGUCGUGAGGAGGACGGGAGAACAGAAAUCAGAGCAGACGGUUGCACUUGCUGUUCAAUAUCAAGCUGGAGACAAGAGGCAGAUCCAAUAUUGAGAGAAAUCUAAGCUCUCGAUGCUACCACAUGUCUGAACUCGCCACAUUUCCUCUUUGCUUAAGUCUACAAAUGUGCAGCUUGGGAAGUUGCACACGUGUCCACCAGACGUGGGCACCCGUGACCUCGAAGGUGCCCCCCGUCUGCCUCGGGAAAGGAGGGCGGCUCCGGUCACUGCAGGAGCUCCGAUGGCGGCGGCGGACGGACUGGAAGGGACCGGCGGCAAGAGAGGGCGCACAGGCUGGAAGGGCCAGUGAUGAGCGGGGCAUCCGCCUGCGACCUCGAAGGAAUACAGAUCUUCAUGUGUGAUGUAAUCACUUUUUGAUAAUUGAGAAAGCUGUGCAAGAGGUGCGGUUUAUGGUCCGCAAAAAGCUGGAUACAAUAUCAGAAAGAUACACAUGGACGUACCAGGAAAAGCUUUUGAUAUGCGCAUGAACCUCAUUUUUAUCCGCGCUCCCUUCUAAGGAGUCCCCAGUUCAGAACAAAAUAUUAUUGGAAGGAUCAGUACGGCCUCAGACAUCAUACUUGUCCAGGCCAUGUCUCCACGAAUGAUGAGUCCGCCAUGAGAGAGAGAGGUUUCAUGUUUUGGUCGAACAUGCUGUUUGGGUGUGAGCGCUUCAGGUUUUAUGCAGUGAGGAUUUGGACACUGGAAUUUCAAUUUUGAUUAUGUGAUGACCCGAUGACCUGGUUGGACCCUAGAGACUCAAGUUUACUCUGAUGACAAAUACAAGGGCUAAGGUAGCUUGAGGUAAAUCAACUCAGAAGCUUUGAUUCCUCUACAUGUGUUCCAGCUACAUGAAAACUAUUACAUGAUAUUUAAGAUCUUCCAGUAUUAUAUUACUAAUUACUCUGUUCUUUUCAUCCGAACGCUAUUUCUUAAUCCAAGUUCAUUUUUCGGCAUCCAAAUGAUUUUUUAGUUUGAUGACUGGUCCACUGGAAGAGACAUGGUGCAGAUUGAUGCAGUAAUUCGUGUGAUGUUUGCGGGUUUGUAGGUCUAUAGCAUGAGUAUGACUCGGGCUGUAGAAAUGCAUUCUUCAGAAAAGUGGCAGCUGCAUAGCCAUUUAUAGCUUUACAUCGAACCUUAUGGGAAAAGCAGUGCUCUCUUAAAAUGUUGUCUUCUUAUGAGUGUCAGCUUUAUUUUAAGUUUUACUCAUAUCUUCUCUUCCGUUCAGCACUAAAGUGUUGAACAUAUGGUUUGCAUGCAUGUCUCCAUUUUAUUCUAUUCAUGUUACAAAUUUCAUCUAUAUUUGUUUAUUCCCCUGAAAAACGGGUUAAUAGUUACAUUCUUUUGUACUGUGCAAAAUAAGACGAGUGUGCAAAUGGCCUGAGUUAUAUAAUUUUAAACCUCCUAUUAUUCAAAUCCAAGAUUUCAUAUCAGUGUGUGCUACUGUUAUUCAAAUCCAAGAUUUUUCUGUAAGUUUUUAGUAAGGAUCAAUGCUUAAGCAACUAUUUUCUUGCACUUAUAUACUUCUGCCUUGCCCCCUGAUUUCCAUGGCCGGUUGGCGGCCCUCAUCGACCCUGCGCUGGAGCUUCGUCGCUUCUCCUCCAAGUGGUUCGUCCCCGGAGCUAUAGAGACGGCCGGCGCGGUUGAUUCUUCAUCGGAAUUGAGAACACCCUGAGCUGCUUCUUCUCUGAUCUCGGCGCUCUGCAUCUUGAGGUCACCGGAGUGCGGUGGAGAAGGAGCCCGAGCACUUGAUUGUUUCCCUAUUUUAUUGCUAGGGUCAUUUUUGCAAAUUUUGGUGCCUUUACUUCAAUUUUAGGUUUCCAGGGCAAGAGAUGCUGAAGGGCAUCGUUGUAAUUUAUGUACCCACCUCUUUUAAUCUAUCUUCCAGGCCUUUCGAGGCUGACUUUGUUAAAAAAAAUCAUAAUUUCAUCAAAUUGACUUUAUUUUGCAAAAACUGAAAAAUGUAUUACAAUUUACCUACCUGAUUUCUUAUCGUUACUACUGUAAUUCUGUGCGGAUUUCACGGGAUCGUGCGCCAAGGCGCGACGGUGAAGGAGGGUGGAGGCGGCGGGGAGUGGGGGUCCUCAUCUGAUCAGUCAUUGAGCCGACCAAGGCUAGGAAGGCAGCCGUCGGCGACAAGGAUCUGGAGUUCGUUAGGUAGCCCUAACCCACCUACGAGGCGUGCACGAAGUGGCCUAAGCGCUACCAGCGGCGCCCGUGAGGCCAGAUGAGGAGGAGGAUGUCAAGGCGCGGUGCCACUACCGCUGUGUGCAGAUCGACAAUAUAGUCUAACGCUUGAUGACGAUGUGUAUGUCCAGGUACUGAACAGCUCUGCAUUUUUUGCUCUCUGACUUUUGUGGUUACACUUGCAUCGAGUAGCCAAAUGUUGUUUAACAUGAUGCACCGCUGCUGUGGAGGCCCGCUCUAGGAGACGGCAUACGGUGCAUGGCGUUCGACACCAUCAAGGACAGCGGCCUCCGAGCCACCCCGGGCCUGACCACUAGAUGCACAUGGACGGUGCCUGCCGAGGUACCAGCAAGAUGGUGGUGGCAGCGCGGGGAGGCCGGUGACCUCGGGUGCUGAUGAGUUGUUCACUUGCAGGUGCAACCAAUCAGAAAUAAACCUGAGCACAUCUGACCUGGAGAGUGCUUUGCUACCAUAUCUAACUUGGAAAGAAAAACCAAGGUUGCGAAUAAAUGGUAGGGAGGCCACUGCUAAAGCCUAUUCGAGCCACUUGGUGAGCUCAUUGUUGACAACAAGGCUAUGUAGUACUUUGAAAACGGAGCCACAUUUUGCAAGUUUUGGUGACUCUUCAGAGUUCUUCAUUGAUCCUGGUGGCACACACUGAUAGCCUGAAAUUUAUCCUCUUGGCAAGAACAUGAGCAACCAUCCUUACCUGUCGAAUUCUUGCGGAGCAAUGCUGCCAAGGAUUAUGUCCGGUGGCCGCCCCCUUGUGUUAUGUUCUUUUCGCCCCUUAGAUGAUUAUUUUGCUCAUACUGAGUUAUGUGGUUUUUCCGUGUUGGGUUGGUUGGUCUGUCCUUGCUUAUUUUUGAUAUAACACAUGCAUGCUUAUAAUGAGAAACAAGGCUUACAAGAGCAUGGAGGAUUACUGAUCAGUGUAAUUGGACUACCUGGGCAUCAAGGCAUCAAGUAUAGAUGUGCAGAGAAAGAGGAAGAGCACAUCCUUGAGCAGUAGUUCAGUGAUGCCUGGUAUGUCUGUUUAUGCUGGGAUAAUAAAGCUUUGUUGUAAGGAAUUUGGAAGGUGCUGGUGGAUUUGAAAUGGUGGAAGGAGAAACGAAGCUGAGGCCGUGUGCCCAUGUCAAAAUGUACAGCCGAAUAUCGAGUGACAUUUUAUUCACUAUUCAUUCGGAGAAGAUAUGCCGUUGGUUGGGGUGACACAACGGCAUGUGUUGCAGCUCGAUAAGUCGGCCCAGCCAGGCCUUCAACUUACCCAUAUGUAGCUUCAGGUUCAAGUUGGGACUGGACCAAUACUCGUUUCAAUACCAUGAUUACUUUAGUGGCCUUGUUCAAAAAAGAUAGUAGAAAGAUAGUAUCAAGCACCAAGAUACUGCAUCCUGCCACUGUUCGCCGUCUCGCCGCUCCAUGAUUAUUUGACUCAGUUGUGGCAAAUGAAGCAAAUGAGUUUUCCAUGUAUUCUUAUUUGUAGCAAAGUAUAAGGGCAAUAAUUUUUUCAGAUGGCUUGUUAACAUUUGUGAAAUAGUGGAGAUGUUGCUUGUUCCUUCACCAUACCACAUGCUUCAAAGGGUGGAGCAUGUCACCAUCCUCAAUCCAUGAGUGUGCUAAGCAUUCGGUGCGUCAUGCUGAUUCCAUAUGUGUAUGUGACAAGCCGAAAAAUAUGCUAGAAAUGUUGAACCAUUUAAACUUGUCGGAAGCAUGCGCUCCAAGAGCUAUGGAGUUAUGAAGUUUCUCCUUCCCA